rnacentral:rRNA from 1 species
UAACCUGCCCUGGAGUGGGGAACAACAGCUGGAAACAGCUGCUAAUACCGCAUAAUGCAGUUGGGCCGCAUGGCUCUGACUGCCAAAGAUUUAUCGCUCUGGGAUGGACUCGCGUCUGAUUAGCUAGUUGGUGGGGCAACGGCCCACCAAGGCGACGAUCAGUAGCCGGACUGAGAGGUUGGCCGGCCACAUUGGGACUGAGACACGGCCCAGACUCCUACGGAAGGCAGCAG